GCUAAGCAGAUUAUUGCUGGAUAAAAAACCUGAAAAAAGGAUCUGUCUAGGAAUAGGUUGAUCUUUUCUCUGUAUUGCCUUAAAUGAGAAUGUAGUUUAUUUUAUGAAAUCUUCUCUGCAAGGAUUUCUCACAUUUCCCUGCUCUACUUUCUGGAACUCUCCAGGGAGUCAGGAAAGGGAAUGAUCUCUCUGCAACCUCAAUUUUUUUUUCCCCCCACAAGAAUUCAUCUGCAUAUCCAAUGGUUACCUCCUACUUUGAUAAUCAGCAAAUACUACAGGAUGAAGAGGUGGUUAAUUCAACCAACACAUGCUGUUUCAGAGAGAUGAGAACAAGGGUUUUAUCUUAUGAAAAGCUACAAUAAGUGGGGAUGCAGUCAUGAGAUGUACCUGAGUUAUAUGCCAAGGUAACCGCAAGAAGGGACUUUCAACAGAAGAGAACUGACAGUACAGAAGAAUAUAUUAUGUCUCAGGUGCAGUGAUGUCCUGAUUAGGAAAGAAACAGAAGGCAGUGGUGGCAAGAGAGAAGCAAAGGAAGGAAAACAUGCAAGGAAAAAAGACAGAAGUGCAGAAGGUAGAAGUGUGGCUGACAGCCCUGGAAUCCCCCAGGACCACAGUCAGCAGUGAAGAGAAUUACCUUGCGGAAAAGACACAGCUGGCAGGAAAGAUGUCAGCCGCGGGAGGUAAAGAAAAAUGCAGGCAGGAGGAGAAACUGGUGAGACACUCUGUGGACAGGAGUGCCCUGGGAGAAACACCACGGGGGUAAAAUGGCCGAUGACUUACAAAUGUGCACGCAGCCCACAAAUUAAAGUAACAUUUGAUUACCCCUAUCAAUCCAAGAUGGUUUCCUUGGACACCAGUCCAAGAGAACAUGGAAAUUACCUCUUCACUUACUGACAGGCAUGGUUCAAGAGCACAUACCUUCUACCCUCACGCCCAAGGGUAUUAACCAGUCAUUACCUCACAUUUUCUUGUUUCCCUAAUGGGCCCCGUUUCAUCUCCCUGGGUAGUGAGAGCUGCUUCACAGCAUAUCCAUGGCAGCAAUCUGUAACAGUGCACUUAGCCAGGCAGCAGGGGUACUGAAUAAUGAGCCCAUCUGUACCGUCCUUCCAACCCUGUCCUAAAAGCAUCGGUAAGCUCCAGAAGUAACAUUCUCCAGGUACCUCCCUCUAACCAAAUUUCUAAGUAGUAGAAGAUUACUCUUAUUGUUAGGGUGCUUCUUGUACAGUAUAUAAAAUGAGGUGGUUUUUGCUUUACUGUUUAGGAAAAAGAACUAUUUCACUUUUUUUUUUUUUUUUGCAUUAGCAGACAGCUAAUAAUGAAAUGUCUACUUGGAAUAACACUGUUAUGAAAGGGAACAUUUCCUCUUCCAUAUUAUGUCACAGGACAUACCCAAUUAGUGGCAAAACUAUGCUUGCCCUCAGAUUAGAACAAAAAGAUGAAAUAGCAAUUUGGUGGAAAGCAUUUUAAUAUAGGCAUCCAAGAGUAAGGGCAUUCUGAGUUCUGCAAUGGAAAAAAUAAGAAGAAAAAAGAAGGAAAAGCAUUCCUCUGAUUUCCUCUGAUGCUGCAAUACCUUUCCCUCCUCUGUUCCCAUAAAAAGAAAAUGGAGUUCUUUUUCAUUCAGGAAUAACUGGAGCUUUAAACAAAUGAAAUACUUGGGAGUGAAAUCUAUCUUAUUUUGAAUCAAGACAUGGGUCAAGCAGAUUUCUGACCAAUGGGAAUGAUAAGUACAACCAUAUUUUUGCUUCAGUUCCUUCUAGGAUCAAAGCUGAGGCUGUCAACCUUAAUUUAUGUUUAGAUAUUUAUAAUAUUUCCAGUAUAAUUCUGUAUUUUUAAGGAGCUGUCACUGAGCAAUCUGAAACUGUCUCACUGUACUAGACUAUGGCAGUAUUUUUUCCCAUCAGGUACUAGUUCAGCAAUCUUCUUCAUGUCUAAUUCUUUGACAGCAACUCAGUUUCAGAUGGUUUAUAAUAGGUGCUGCCUGAAUUCUGCCAAGAUUGAAUUGCUAUUGAUUGGUAUGAGGCAAUGGUGUAGAAGGGUGCAUUUCCACAGCCUGUAUUUGGAUGGGUCAGAUCUUUUGACAGCUGAUUUUGUUAGAAAACCUGGGGUCAUUGUGGGCACUGAUUAUUACACACCCUUGCAUUUCUCCCAUGACUGCAAGCUCAGCUUCUAACUCUUAGACCUUUCUUUCUAAGGUCUACAUAGAAGUACUUUUAUGUAGGAACAGACAUUAUAAUCAGUACAUUAGAAAUUGUACAUAAGAAUUAUAAUUGUUAUGUUCAUACAAUUGUAUGAACAAUGCAGGAUGCCAAGUGCCAGUUUCCUUCCUGGACACAGCCUACCAACCUGCAUGAAGCUUCCUUGCAAGCCUAAUUUUCCCCAUCACUACAAGCUCAGCUUCUCACUCUGCAGAUGUUGCAGAUCUCGGCACUGCUGCGUAAGACAAACCCAUUCUUGUUCCUUUUCUACACUUAGAAAUGCCAAAAUACACUAAGUCAACAAAAAUUUAUGUAUUUGACUUCAGAAGAUGAAAUUAUGUAAUUAGUAACAUUACACUGAUUUUAUUAGUGUUUCUUUGAUUUAAAUUGUUAGUGGUUCAAACAUCUUAAUUUCAGAGUGAAUUAUAUAAUUGUUUUUUGUUGCUUGUUUAUCCAUUUUUUGUAUA